UACGUAGGGGGCCAGCGUUGCUCGGAAUUACUGGGCGUAAAGGGUUCGUAGGUGGUGCGGCAAGUUGGGAGUGAAAUCUCUGGGCUUAACUCAGAGGCUGCUUUCAAAACUGCCGCGCUCGAGUGCGAGAGAGGUCAGUGGAAUUGCAGGUGUAGCGGCGAAAUGCGUAGAUAUCUGCAGGAACACCCGUGGCGAAGGCGGCCGACUGGAUCGCAACUGACACUGAGGAACGAAAGCUAGGGGAGCAAACAGG
rnacentral:rRNA from 1 species